AUUGAACGCUGGCGGCAUGCCUAACACAUGCAAGUCGAACGAGUGGCGGACGGGUGAGUAAUGUCUGGGAAACUGCCGGAUGGCGGGGGAUAACUACUGGAAACGGUAGCGAAUACCGCAUUACAGCAGAUGUGCGCAGGUUGGAUUAGCUGGUAGGUGGGGUAACGGCUCACCUGGGCGACGAUCCCUAGCUGGUCUGAGAGGAUGACCGGCCACACUGGAACUGAGACACGGUCCAGACUCCUACGGGAGGCAGCAGUGGGGAAUAUUGGACAAUGGGCGAAAGCCUGAUGCAGCCAUGCCGCGUGUAUGAAGAAGGCCUUCGGGUUGUAAAGUACUUUCAGCGGGGAGGCGUUACCCGCAGAAGAAGCCCCGGCUAACUCCGUGCCAGCAGCCGCGGUAAUAC
rnacentral:rRNA from 1 species